rnacentral:lncRNA from 1 species
AUAUAAAAACAACACCUGCCUUUUAGCUUAGAAAUCACAUCGAAUCCCACACUUUGUCUCGCAACGCUGCAUUCGCCUCUCUGCACGCCACCAAUAUUCACACAUGUCCAGAUAGUUAUGGUAAACAAAUAGCAACAUUAUAUGUAUGUAUCUUACAAAUAUUGGAUAACAAAACUUUCCCUAUAACCAGUUAUAAUAAAUCCUUUAUGUUCACACCAUAUUGUUUAUAAUUUUUUAAAUUAUAUAUUAAAUCAUUACUAUUCCUUUAAAUUAUUCAUACUUUAUCUCAACUUAUACAAAAAUCUUUACUAUUUUCUUAUAGAUGAAUUUCCAUGAUUUGAAGAUUUUUUAAAUAGAUGGUAACCCACCGAAUCCACCCCAACUCACAUUCAUUAUCAACUCUUAUUUAUCCUCGUCCGAUGAAUGAGUGAAUGUGGGUGAUGGAAACAAUAACCCUUGGCAGCCAACUCAUUCUUACAUGUUGAUUGUUUUCCAUCAAGUCAGCAUUCCGUCCAAGAAAUCAAACAUAAUGGUAACUAAAGAAAUUGAGUUAUAGUCUAAUAAUAUUUAGUGAAUAAAACUUAGUUUGAUAUAAUUAGUGUGACGGAAAACUAUAGUUUAAUGAUAUCCGGUCUAAAAUCAACCCACCCAAUACUCACCCCAACUCAAUCACUUGGUCACAAUACAAACAUGGUAGGUCUAUAGUACAUGUGAAAAUCGAAGAGACAGUGGACGUACCGUCUGGCAAAUAGGAAACGCAGCCAGUGGUGCAGUAAUCAUAGCAUCGGUAGCGAUCAUCCUCGUCCUGUGCGGUGCAAUACUCAAACCAGAUGCUCACAAUCAGCAACAGCACAGUCAGCCAUAUCACCGCCGAUGCCUUAUUGUUCGUCGUCGUCGUUGUCGUCUUCUUCUCCAUCCUGAUCAUACACUGUUUUUACUCUGUAUGUCCUCUGUAGUACCGACUCAUUCCUUAUAUUUAUAUAUAAAUCAAGCGUAAUGUUGUGAAACUUUGCAACUUGGAGUGAUC